GAUAUCAGGGUCAAAAGGUCAAAAAGUCGUUCGUGCUUGCACGAUAAGACUUUUGAACUUGGGACCCACCAAACAUGAGAAAGUAGCGAUUUACGCAGUAAAUCAGCGGAUUUCGAAUGUUUGAGAAUUGCGGGAGCUGCUAUGCAGCGGAGCAAUUCGUGGAUAUC
rnacentral:sRNA from 1 species